UACGAAGGGUGCAAGCGUUAAUCGGAAUUACUGGGCGUAAAGCGUGCGUAGGUGGUUUGUUAAGUCUGCUGUGAAAGCCCUGGGCUCAACCUGGGAAUGGCGGUGGAUACUGACAAGCUAGAGUGCGGCAGAGGGGGAUGGAAUUCCGCGUGUAGCAGUGAAAUGCGUAGAUAUGCGGAGGAACACCGAUGGCGAAGGCAAUCCCCUGGGCCUGCACUGACGCUCAUGCACGAAAGCGUGGGGAGCAAACAGG
rnacentral:rRNA from 1 species